rnacentral:lncRNA from 1 species
GGUGCGGAGGAGCAUUUUGUUCAAUCAAGAACUGCCGGCGUGGGUGCGACCAUGGCGGAGGAGGGAGUUGAAGGAGUACACAAAGGGGGAAGGGAGGAGGUGGAAGAGGGAGAUGGCGGAGUGGAGGCGGCUGGCACGGUCGAGGGAGCGGAGAGGGCGUUGACAGAGUGGUCAGGGAGGGAGGAGAGGGGAAGACAAAGGGCAAAGUGGAGGGCACGAUGUGGAUUGCCAGAGCAGAGAAGGAGGUGGAUGGUUUUGGGCCUCUUGGUGAUGGGGUUGGCGCAGUGGUGGUCGGAGAGAAGGGAGAGGAGGAGGGGUUGAGCCCAACAAAACAGGUGGAGUGCGGUAGGUGGGGUGCGGUCAAGAGAGUACGGAGGGGGUGAGCCGAACUAAGGCAUGAGAGGGUGGAGUCGAGCGGCCAGCUGGC